rnacentral:lncRNA from 1 species
GAUGCUGUGCUCAAAUAGCGCCCUAGAAUUUAUUUGUAGUGUUUUUUAAAAUGUGUUUCUAACCCCCCCUGUCCCCCCCGAUAUAGUUCCUUAUGUGUGUGAUUUUAAAAUUGAAGUUAGAGCUGCGUGUUCUGUUCAACACGUUAUAAGCUCCCCUGUAUUUCUUGCUUAACUGCCCCAUAAACGUUUAGAGGGGAAAAGACCUUUUGUAGCUGGAAGAUAACGGCAAUGCCGGACUUUGUUCUAUUUAAUGGGAACAACCUACCUCUGCAGUCAAGCAUAAAUCAGGAAGAUGAAAUAUGCACCCAUUUUUCAGUACAGCCAAGUGUGAAUGAAGUUUGCUCUUUAGUGGAAGUACAGGCAUUGCAAACAAAGCUGCAAGGUACAGUUUGUAUCACAGAAUAAAAUGUAAUUUAAACAAACAGCACGUGAAUAGCUGAUUUUGUCUCUGAAGAGACAAAAAUAGUUUAAAAGCUUAAAGAAAGGGGAAAUUUGCAGUGUCAGUGACUCUGAAAUGUGCUUAAAACCCCUUACAAAACAUGCAGCCAGGCCAGCCAUAGACUUUUGAAAGCAGAUAACCUGAGAAACAAUUUGCUUUCAGAAAAACCAAGCCUAUAAUUAUUUCACAUGCAGGACUUCUGACAAAGUCCCUGAAUUGUGAGUUGGUAACUAAUUGCAAGCAGCAUGGAGACAGCUAAAAAAAGUAAAUCUCUGUGCAUAUGGGAAAGAAUUCUUUGUUGGCAUUUGCAGGACUGAUAAUGGUUUAUAGAGGCAAGUAGCUUUCUGUUUUCCAGGAACACAUGGUCAAAAAGAACAGAGCAAAGAACAACUGUGCCCAGGCCCAUCCUGCUGAGGGAUGUGUGGCACUGACUCUGGGGCAUGCACAGAACUGCUCGUGUGCCUUCCACACACCAGAGCUGCUCUGCUGCAUUCCAGGUUAUUGCCAUCUCCUUUUUAGCUUAUGAAUGCAAGUUUUUCCUUUGUUAUCUUUCACUAGCUGAGCAACUUUAACAGAAUUACACAAAAAUAACAGCGUGGUAAAUAUUGUUUCUGUGAAUACUGACUGGUAGUUCAGCAUUAGUAGGGAUCUCACUGUCCUUUAAUUUUUCAAACAAAUGGGACUUCUGAGUGAGAAAGCUGAGAUAUAUUCCAGAUGAUGUAGUAUUUUCACAUUAAUUCUAUACUCCAGGUAUAAUAGCAGUGUCAGUAAGACAAUAUGAAUACCCCAUUUAAAGUUCAUUAUCUCCUCUGGAAUUUGGGACCAUGUAAAUAAAUAAUGUGUUUUUCAAAUGUAAAAUCCA